rnacentral:rRNA from 1 species
UACGUAGGGUGCAAGCGUUGUCCGGAAUUAUUGGGCGUAAAGAGCUCGUAGGCGGUCUGUUGCGUCGGCUGUGAAAACCCGGGGCUCAACCCUGGACCUGCAUUCGAUACGGGCAGACUAGAGUUCGGUAGGGGAGACUGGAAUUCCUGGUGUAGCGGUGAAAUGCGCAGAUAUCAGGAGGAACACCGGUGGCGAAGGCGGGUCUCUGGGCCGAAACUGACGCUGAGGAGCGAAAGCGUGGGGAGCAAACAGG